AAACGUGAGCGCUAGCUUACGUGGAGGCGCUGGUGGGAUACUACCCUAGCUGUGUUGGCUUUCUAACCCGCACCACUUAUCGUGGUGGGAGACAGUGUCAGGCGGGCAGUUUGACUGGGGCGGUCGCUCCUAAAAGGUAACGGAGGCGCUCAAAGGUUCCCUCAGAAUGGUUGGAAAUCAUUCAUAGAGUGUAAAGGCAUAAGGGAGCUUGACUGCGAGACCUACAAGUCGAGCAGGGUCGAAAGACGGACUU
rnacentral:rRNA from 1 species